AACGAACGCUGGCGGCAUGCCUAACACAUGCAAGUCCAACGAGACCUUCGGGUCUAGUGGCGCACGGGUGCGUAACGCGUGGGAACCUGCCCUUAGGUUCGGAAUAACUCCCCGAAAGGGGUGCUAAUACCGGAUAAUGUCUUCGGACCAAAGAUUUAUCGCCUUUGGAUGGGCCCGCGUUGGAUUAGCUAGUUGGUAGGGUAAAAGCCUACCAAGGCGACGAUCCAUAGCUGGUCUGAGAGGAUGAUCAGCCACACUGGGACUGAGACACGGCCCAGACUCCUACGGGAGGCAGCAGUGGGGAAUAUUGGACAAUGGGCGAAAGCCUGAUCCAGCAAUGCCGCGUGUGUGAUGAAGGCCUUAGGGUUGUAAAGCUCUUUUACCCGGGAUGAUAAUGACAGUACCGGGAGAAUAAGCUCCGGCUAACUCCGUG
rnacentral:rRNA from 1 species